rnacentral:rRNA from 1 species
AGCGAACGCUGGCGGCAGGCCUAACACAUGCAAGUCGAACGAACCUUUCGGGGUUAGUGGCGGACGGGUGAGUAACACGUGGGAACGUGCCUUUAGGUUCGGAAUAACUCAGGGAAACUUGUGCUAAUACCGAAUGUGCCCUUCGGGGGAAAGAUUAAUCGCCUUUAGAGCGGCCCGCGUCUGAUUAGCUAGUUGGUUGAGGUAAUGGCUCACCAAGGCGACGAUCAGUAGCUGGUCUGAGAGGAUGAUCAGCCACAUUGGGACUGAGACACGGCCCAAACUCCUACGGGAGGCAGCAGUGGGGAAUCUUGCGCAAUGGGCGAAAGCCUGACGCAGCCAUGCCGCGUGAAUGAUGAAGGUCUUAGGAUUGUAAAAUUCUUUCACCGGGGACGAUUAUGACGGUACCCGGAGAAGAAGCCCCGGCUAACUUCGUG